CCUACGGGAGGCAGCAGUGAGGAAUAUUGGUCAAUGGACGAGAGUCUGAACCAGCCAAGUAGCGUGAAGGAUGACUGCCCUAUGGGUUGUAAACUUCUUUUAUAUGGGAAUAAAAUGUUACACGUGUGGGAUUUUGUAUGUACCAUAUGAAUAAGGAUCGGCUAACUCCGUGCCAGCAGCCGCGGUAAUAAGGAGGAUCCGGGCGUUAUCCGGAUUUCUUGGGUUUAAAGGGAGCGUAGGUUGAUUGUUAAGUCAGUUGUGAAAGUUUGCGGCUCAACCGUAAAAUUGCAGUUGAAACUGGCAGUCGUGAGUACAGUAGAGGUGGGCGGAAUGCGGGGGGUAGCGGUGAAAUGCUUAGAUAUCACGAAGAACUCCGAUUGCGAAGGCAGUUCACUGGACUGCAACUGACACUGAGGCUCGAAGGUGUGGGUAUCAAACAGGAUUAGAUACCCCAGUAGUC
rnacentral:rRNA from 1 species